rnacentral:lncRNA from 10 species
CUUAGAUGUGUCUCCUACACGAAGCAGUUUUAUUCCUCACAAACACAAGAUAGGUAGGGCAGUUGCUGUUUUUGUCUCUUUUGACAGAUGAGAAAACUGCCACUCAGAGGUUCUUGGAGUUGCUCAUGCCACUAUGUAAGAGCAGAGCUAGUGCUAGAAUGGCUUCUAGUCCAGUGCUUUUUUUCCCUUUGUUCCUCCUCUUAUGUGUCACCACGAAGGAGGAUGUCCAGGGCUAAAGUGAGAGUGUGUGAGGAACUCCUACCACCACCAGCAAGCUGGCAUUUAGUCCUAGGUCUCACCUUGGAGAAUUCACCUUUAUUCUUUCCUUCCAAGCAGAUGGAAACCAAAAUCCUGUGAACCAAUUCGCCGGGAAGGCCCCAAGUGGGACCCAGCUCGCCUGAAUGAAUCUACCACCUUUGUGUUGGGAUCUCGAGCCAACAAAGCCCUGGGGAUGGGGGGCACCAGAGGAAGAAUCUACAUCAAGCACCCACACCUCUUUAAG